rnacentral:rRNA from 1 species
UACGUAGGGUGCGAGCGUUGUCCGGAAUUAUUGGGCGUAAAGAGCUCGUAGGCGGUGUGUCACGUCGGCCGUGAAAACCUGCAGCUUAACUGUGGGCGUGCGGUCGAUACGGGCAUCACUGGAGUUCGGCAGGGGAGACUGGAAUUCCUGGUGUAGCGGUGAAAUGCGCAGAUAUCAGGAGGAACACCGGUGGCGAAGGCGGGUCUCUGGGCCGAUACUGACGCUGAGGCGCGAAAGCUAGGGGAACGAACAGG